AGAGUAUUGAUUGCUAGUGCUUACUUCCAUGGGCACUCAAAAAAGCGCUUCAUAUUUACGGCUCCUUAUAACUUCAAAAGGACAGCAAGUGCUCUCUGGACAGAAUCACCACCCUGUAUGUACUUGAUAUUCUCCACAGUGCCAAAGAG